rnacentral:rRNA from 1 species
AAAUCGUACCCCAAACCGACACAGGUGGUCAGGUAGAGAAUACCAAGGCGCUUGAGAGAACUCGGGUGAAGGAACUAGGCAAAAUGGUGCCGUAACUUCGGGAGAAGGCACGCUGGUGUGUAGGUGAAGUCCCUGCGGGUGGAGCUGAGACCAGUCGAAGAUACCAGCUGGCUGCAACUGUUUAUUAAAAACACAGCACUGUGCAAACACGAAAGUGGACGUAUACGGUGUGACGCCUGCCCGGUGCCGGAAGGUUAAUUGAUGGGGUUAUCCGUAAGGAGAAGCUCUUGAUCGAAGCCCCGGUAAACGGCGGCCGUAACUAUAACGGUCCUAAGGUAGCGAAAUUCCUUGUCGGGUAAGUUCCGACCUGCACGAAUGGCGUAAUGAUGGCCAGGCUGUCUCCACCCGAGACUCAGUGAAAUUGAACUCGCUGUGAAGAUGCAGUGUACCCGCGGCAAGACGGAAAGACCCCGUGAACCUUUACUAUAGCUUGACACUGAACAUUGAGCCUUGAUGUGUAGGAUAGGUGGGAGGCUUUGAAGCGUGGACGCCAGUCUGCGUGGAGCCAACCUUGAAAUACCACCCUUUAAUGUUUGAUGUUCUAACGUUGGCCCCUGACCGGGGUUGCGGACAGUGUCUGGUGGGUAGUUUGACUGGGGCGGUCUCCUCCCAAAGCGUAACGGAGGAGCACGAAGGUUAGCUAAUCCUGGUCGGACAUCAGGAGGUUAGUGCAAUGGCAUAAGCUAGCUUGACUGCGAGCGUGACGGCGCGAGCAGGUGCGAAAGCAGGUCAUAGUGAUCCGGUGGUUCUGAAUGGAAGGGCCAUCGCUCAACGGAUAAAAGGUACUCCGGGGAUAACAGGCUGAUACCGCCCAAGAGUUCAUAUCGACGGCGGUGUUUGGCACCUCGAUGUCGGCUCAUCACAUCCUGGGGCUGAAGUAGGUCCCAAGGGUAUGGCUGUUCGCCAUUUAAAGUGGUACGCGAGCUGGGUUUAGAACGUCGUGAGACAGUUCGGUCCCUAUCUGCCGUGGGCGCUGGAGAAUUGAGGGGGGCUGCUCCUAGUACGAGAGGACCGGAGUGGACGCAUCACUGGUGUUCGGGUUGUCAUGCCAAUGGCACUGCCCGGUAGCUAAAUGCGGAAGAGAUAAGUGCUGAAAGCAUCUAAGCACGAAACUUGCCCCGAGAUGAGUUCUCCCUGAGACUUUAAGUCUCCUGAAGGAACGUUAAAGACGAUGACGUUGAUAGGCCGGGUGUGUAAGCGCAGCGAUGCGUUGAGCUAACCGGUACUAAUGAACCGUGAGGCUUAACCUU